rnacentral:rRNA from 1 species
AGCGAACGCUGGCGGCAGGCCUAACACAUGCAAGUCGAACGGACCCUUCGGGGUUAGUGGCGGACGGGUGAGUAACACGUGGGAACGUGCCCUUUGGUUCGGAACAACUCAGGGAAACUUGAGCUAAUACCGAAUGUGCCCUUCGGGGGAAAGAUUUAUCGCCAUUGGAGCGGCCCGCGUCUGAUUAGCUAGUUGGUGGGGUAAUGGCCUACCAAGGCGACGAUCAGUAGCUGGUCUGAGAGGAUGAUCAGCCACAUUGGGGCUGAGACACGGCCCAAACUCCUACGGGAGGCAGCAGUGGGGAAUCUUGCGCAAUGGGCGAAAGCCUGACGCAGCCAUGCCGCGUGAAUGAUGAAGGUCUUAGGAUUGUAAAAUUCUUUCACCGGGGACGAUAAUGACGGUACCCGGGGAAGAAGCCCCGGCUAACUUCGUGCCAGCAGCCGCGGUAAGAC